rnacentral:rRNA from 1 species
UGGGGAAUAUUGGGGCAAUGGGGGCGCAAGCCUGACCCAGCAACGCCGCGUGAAGGAAGAAGGCUUUCGGGUUGUAAACUUCUUUUAAGAGGGAAGAGCAGAAGACUGUACCUCUAGAAUAAGCCACGGCUAACUACGUGCCAGCAGCCGCGGUAAUACGUAGGUGGCAAGCGUUGUCCGGAAUUACUGGGUGUAAAGGGAGCGCAGGCGGGAAAUCAAGUUGGAUGUGAAAUGUCGGGGCUUAACCCCGGAACUGCAUCCAAAACUGAUAUUCUUGAGUGAAGUAGAGGUAGGCGGAAUUCCGAGUGUAGCGGUGAAAUGCGUAGAUAUUCGGAGGAACACCAGUGGCGAAGGCGGCCUACUGGGCUUUAACUGACGCUGAGGCUCGAAAGUGUGGGGAGCAAACAGGAUUAGAUACCCUGGUAGU